GAAGUUAUGCCUGAAUAAAAGGACCACUUUGAUAGAGUGAAUUAUGAGGGUUCAAGUCCCCCUGGCUUCU
rnacentral:tRNA from 1 species